AAUAGAUACCCCGGUAGUCCACGCCGUAAACGAUGGAUACUAGCUGUUGGGCGCAAGUUCAGUGGCUAAGCGAAAGUGAUAAGUAUCCCACCUGGGGAGUACGAACGCAAGUUUGAAACUCAAAGGAAUUGACGGGGGCCCGCACAAGCGGUGGAGCAUGUGGUUUAAUUCGAUGAUACGCGAGGAACCUUACCAAGGCUUAAAUGCAGACUGACCGGUUUGGAAACAGACCUUUCGCAAGACGGUCUACAAGGUGCUGCAUGGUUGUCGUCAGCUCGUGCCGUGAGGUGUCAGGUUAAGUCCUAUAACGAGCGCAACCCCUGUUGUUAGUUGCCAGCGAGUCAUGUCGGGAACUCUAGCAAGACUGCCAGUGCAAACUGUGAGGAAGGUGGGGAUGACGUCAAAUCAUCACGGCCCUUACGCCUUGGGCUACACACGUGCUACAAUGGCCGGUACAGAGAGCAGCCACCCCGGCGAGGGGGUAGCGAAUCUAUAAACGCCGGUCACAGUUCGGAUCGGAGUCUGCAACUCGAC
rnacentral:rRNA from 1 species